rnacentral:rRNA from 1 species
AAUUUUUGACAAUGGGCGCAAGCCUGAUCCAGCCAUGCCGCGUGAGUGAAGAAGGCCUCCGGGUUGUAUAGCUCUUUCGUGCGGCAGGGAAGUGAGCAGGCUAAUACCGUGCGCGGAGGACGGUACCGUCAUAAGAAUCGCACGCUACCUACGUGCAAGCAGUCUCGGUAAUACGGAGGGUGCGAGCGUUAAUCGGAUUUACUGUGCGUAAAGCGUGCGCAGGCGGUUGAUUAAGACAGGCGUGAAAUCCCCGGGCUUAACCUGGGAACUGCGCUUGUGACUGGUCAGCUAGAGUACGGCAGAGGGGGGUGGAAUUCCACGUGUAGCAGUGAAAUGCGUAGAGAUGUGGAGGAACACCGAUGGCGAAGGCAGCCCCCUGGGCCGAUACUGACGCUCAUGCACGAAAGCGUGGGUAGCAAACAGG